AACGAACGCUGGCGGCAUGCCUAACACAUGCAAGUCGAACGAGACCUUCGGGUCUAGUGGCGCACGGGUGCGUAACGCGUGGGAAUCUGCCCUUUGCUACGGAAUAACUCAGAGAAAUUUGUGCUAAUACCGUAUAAUGUCGAAAGACCAAAGAUUUAUCGGCAAAGGAUGAGCCCGCGUAGGAUUAGCUAGUUGGUGAGGUAAAGGCUCACCAAGGCGACGAUCCUUAGCUGGUCUGAGAGGAUGAUCAGCCACGCUGGGACUGAGACACGGCCCAGACUCCUACGGGAGGCAGCAGUGGGGAAUAUUGGACAAUGGGCGAAAGCCUGAUCCAGCAAUGCCGCGUGAGUGAUGAAGGCCUUAGGGUUGUAAAGCUCUUUUACCAGGGAUGAUAAUGACAGUACCUGGAGAAUAAGCUCCGGCUAACUACGUGCCAGCCGCCGCCGUAA
rnacentral:rRNA from 1 species